AAACAAGGUAUUUUGGGUUUAGUUGUUACUAAGUUAACUUAAAACAGCGUAAAGAAGACGUAAUUUGUGAUAGUGAGGAUUUAAUUCAAGAUGUCUGAAGUUUCCACUAAAACUCCAUCUACAAAGAAGCGAUUCACUGCACCGAUUCUAAAGGGUGCAGACGCUGCCUGUGGCAAGCCAAAUGAAAAAGAUGUCAGUUCUGAAAAAAGCAAAGGUUCACAAGAAAGAG